UGAGGAAUAUUGCUCAAUGGGCGCAAGCCUGAAGCAGCGACGCCGCGUGGACGAUGAAGGUCUUCGGAUCGUAAAGUCCUUUUCUGUGUGACGAGAACGGACGGUAGCACAGGAAUAAGUGUCGGCUAACUACGUGCCAGCAGCCGCGGUAACACGUAGGACGCAAGCGUUAUCCGGAAUUACUGGGCGUAAAGAGCGUGUAGGCGGUUUUGUAAGUCAACCGUGAAAGCUCCCGGCUAAACUGGGAGAGUGCGGAUGAGACUGCAGGGCUAGUGGGUCGUAGAGGAAUGUGGAAUUCCGGGUGUAGUGGUGAAAUGCGUAGAGAUCCGGAGGAACACCAGAGGCGAAGGCGGCAUUCUGGACGACAUCAGACGCUGAGACGCGACAGCACGGGGAGCGAACGG
rnacentral:rRNA from 1 species